rnacentral:rRNA from 1 species
AUGCGUGAUCAGGUCGGCAUGGACCUGGACGGCUUCCCACUCGACCACUAGUUUCCGGACGACUACGGGCAAGAGGAAGAGGACGAGUGCGACAUCGAGGUGGAGCCUUUGUUCGAGGACGAGCUCGCCAACCAAGCCGCCGGUCCUAAGCCGAAGCGCAAGAGCAAGCGCACGAAGGCAUACACGGCUGCCGAGGACAAGCUUCUUUGCGAGUGUUGGCGAGACAUUGGACAAGACCCCAAGACGGACGCCGAACAAAAGCAUUCAACACCGUGUCGUCAAGGAAGAGGACGUGGUUCGAGAAGAUGUAGGCCGACAUUCUUAAGUUCGCCGACGAGUGAUCUCGUGGCCGCAAGCGCCUUCCUUUUUUGCAUGCCGGCUUGUGUGCUGGCAUGA